rnacentral:rRNA from 1 species
UACGAAGGGGGCUAGCGUUGCUCGGAAUCACUGGGCGUAAAGCGCACGUAGGCGGAUUGUUAAGUCAGGGGUGAAAUCCUGGAGCUCAACUCCAGAACUGCCUUUGAUACUGGCGAUCUUGAGUCCGGGAGAGGUGAGUGGAACUGCGAGUGUAGAGGUGAAAUGCGCAGAUAUUCGACAAGAACACCAGUGGCGGAAGGCGGCUCACUGGCCCGAUACUGACGCUGAGGCACGAAAGCGUGGGGAGCAAACAGG